rnacentral:rRNA from 1 species
AUUGAACGCUGGCGGCAUGCCUUACACAUGCAAGUCGAACGGCAGCACGGGAGCAAUCCUGGUGGCGAGUGGCGAACGGGUGAGUAAUAUAUCGGAACGUGCCCAGUAGUGGGGGAUAACUGCUCGAAAGAGCAGCUAAUACCGCAUACGACCUGAGGGUGAAAGGGGGGGAUCGCAAGACCUCUCGCUAUUGGAGCGGCCGAUAUCAGAUUAGCUAGUUGGUGGGGUAAAGGCCUACCAAGGCAACGAUCUGUAGUUGGUCUGAGAGGACGACCAGCCACAAUUGAACUGAGACACGGCCCAGACUCCUACGGGAGGCAGCAGUGGGGAAUUUUGGACAAUGGGCGCAAGCCUGAUCCAGCAAUGCCGCGUACAGGAAGAAGGCCUUCGGGUUGUAAACUGCUUUUGUCAGGGAAGAAAUCCUCUAGGUUAAUACCCUUGGGGGGAUGACGGUACCUGAAGAAUAAGCACCGGCUAACUACGUGCCAGCCGCCGCCGUAAUAC